rnacentral:lncRNA from 1 species
CGUUUUAGAGGAGAUUGCACGCGAAUUUAUUUGCUAAACGGUCAGAAGGCGAUAAAAGCGAACGAUAAAGGCACGCGAUAAAGCACUCGGUGAAAACUAAAGAUAUAAUUAUUAUCUAUGUACAUAUGUAUACUUGAUUCCGAGAUCAAACUUAAGCGAAGAUUGCGGCGAACAAAUCGGUUCAAAUAAAUAAAAUGUCCAACUUUCAAACUGUUAAUACUUGUUAACGUUAUGUGACGUUAAUAUAACAUACAUGUACUGUGAGAUAAUAGCAAGAUAUGCAAGAAUUAUGUUCUGAGAGAAUAUCGCGUUGCUUGGAACGGAAGUGACGAUUGUUACCUGGAGAGCUAGGACUCGGGACCGGUUCAAGCUACUAGUCAGACAAACUGCCAGAGCAAGAAGACCGGGUUGGGCUUGCACUAGGAGCCUCGGUGCGUCGGUGCAUCGUUCGGUGCAGGCAGCCAAACAUUCGACGCAACCCAACUCGUCCAGUGCAGCUCUUCUGGUACCCACUCUUGGACCCGUGUGACCGGAAGACGGUGGUGAGCUUUGGGCCAACUGAACACCGCGAAGUGUCUCAAGUAACAAAGUUAUCCCAUCGGCUGGCGGUGAAGCGAAUUCCUGAACGAAGCUGAAACAUAAUUAUUUCUUUCAAUCGACGAUAUAAUUCAUUCGUAAGCGUGAUAUUUUAUUUGUUAAGUACAAGCAGAAUUAUUUGAGACGUUAGAUACUUUCUUCGUUAUUUUAGCGAUCUUUGCUAAAGCUAGAAACGUUAGUAAGACAUUUUAAAUGAAGUUCUAUCGCACGGAAAGCGGUACAUGUACUACAAAGUGAUACAUCGUUGAUUACAUAUCCUAAUACAUCUCUGGUAUCGGAGACCGGAAGUAACGGUAUGAACACAUUUGCCUUGAACACACGCAUGUGUUCAGUAUCUAUCGUAUGCAGUUACGUGUAUAUAUGCAGUAUAGCUUGCGGAUAUCAUGUCACGUUUUCUACAGUGUUGCGGUUCAACUCCACCCUAUCAAGUCCUCAGACUACUAGCAUAUGUUUCUUAUAGUCCUAGAAUCCUUAUUCCAGGAAUUUGGAAGACGUUCUUCUCGUGGAUUAUUUUCUGUUAUCUCAAUUCUGUCUUUUCUUAUGUAUGCGUUUCUUCUUUUAAUUCUCGUAACUCUAAAUAUCUCUUCCACACUGUUGCGUGAUUCUCGCUCGCGUGAUGUGCACUAAUCAUCGCGGACGUCGCAUUAUCCGAUUUCUAUAAUGUUAAACAUAUAAUUAAUAAGCUGAUAAAUAAAUCAACAUAAAUCGGUCAGGUGUUAACGCGGGUAUUUAUUUAAAAAGAUAGAACGCGGUGUGUCACUGAGCUGAGUGUCACUGCAUCAAUCAAUCCCGCUACUUGAUGCUUUAAUGUUGAACCUCGGUAUGUUGUGGAGGCUACUGUAACAGCCAUUGAACCGUAGGCAAGGUGAAAAAAGGUAUAAUUACAUAAUUAUGGGACCUUACGAUUAAGAGAAAAACCAAUCCGGUUUUAUAAGCGCGCUAUUAAGCAAGUUCCUUCGAGGUUGUCAACGGAACGAUUAUCAGAGUGACGGCGCAAGAACCCGAUAACUAUUAAUGUAAUAAAUACGAGGAGGUGGACGAGAAAAUAUACUUCAAUUAAAUUA